GACAGAGGAUGCGAACGUUGCUCGGAAUUACUGGGCGUAAAGCGUGAGUAGGUGGUCACGAAAGUCGGGUGUGAAAUCCCAGGGCUCAACCCUGGAAGUGCACACGAUACUACGUGACUGGAGUACUGGAGAGGAAGGUGGAAUUCCCGGUGUAGAGGUGAAAUUCGUAGAUAUCGGGAGGAACACCAGUGGCGAAAGCGACCUUCUGGACAGAUACUGACACUGAGUCACGAAAGCACGGGGAGCAAACAGG
rnacentral:rRNA from 1 species